UCCAGGCCCUAGAAAAAAAAAUGCUGAAAGGAGCCCAAAGUGACAGUUUUUUUGUGAUCACUCUUCUGCUUGGUGUAUCUGAUUUGUGGCAUUUCAGGAAAAGACAGUU
rnacentral:snoRNA from 1 species